AGCAUGUUUGGGACAGUGCCAUUGCUGUUUGCAGGCAAUACGAAGACACGGAACCUUCUCCCACUCACCAGCAGCAAGAGUGUGUGACUGACACCAGGCAAGGGGCAUGCGCCAGGCCACUGAGGGUGCUGGCCACAGAUCUUGUCUGGAGAAUAAAGGAACAGCCAGAUUGCUUUCGGGAGGCAUCUUCUUCCUUUCACAUCCCUGAGAGCGUGUUUUGCCUGCGACGGAAAGUCAAGCCUCAGCUGAGGACCUUCUGUGUGGUGCUCUGAUUUCUUUGCUAAGUAGUCUGAUUUUUCCCCCCCAGUAAUUUCUAUUUUUAUGCACAGUGACUCUCAAUUGGUGAGAAAAUGAUGAUCACAUAAUCUCUCUUCCUCGAAGCUGCCGAAUGAUUAGCCUCAUUUGCUGCGCGUUCCACUCCACGGCCCGGAAAUGACGCCCCUCUCCAACUCCGGCUAAGCAUGUCAGCUAGAUGGGUUUGACCUUUUCCUGGAAAACAAGGGAGAUGAGAACACGUGAUGUGUGCGCAAACUGAUGCUCAAAUGGGCUAUUUUAGCCAACACUUCAAGAUACAUGCUUCGCUAAACUGGCUGAGAACACACCGGAGCGUUUCCAGUGAGGGCUUUUUAAGGCAUUUAAGAGUCUUGCUAUCUUCAAAAGUAAAGGUAUGACAGAAGACAGCCUGCAGGAGCCAGUUCUCUCCAUCCACCAUGUGGUUACUGGGGGAUCAAAUUCAGAUCAGCAGGUUUGGUGGUACCCUCGGCUUGUUUACACCCUGGAUGAUAAGAAUAAGAAGCUCCGGAUGUGGCGUCAAGAACUUCAGUGCCUCUGUCGUCUGGAUCCCGGGUGAUUGAGAGACUGCAGGAAUUUUUAGAGAUAAGGACUCUGAGGAAUGUUCUCAUGAAUCCUGUCUACCCAGAUUGCAACCUGAAUACCAGAACACAUUGUUUGAAUACAUAAUUCAAGGUCAACGAGAAGGUGUUCCAUUGUAUGAUUUAGUCAUGAGCCACCGCUUGGAGCAUCAUCUUUCUGCCAUUAAUGAGUCGCCUUCUACAGCAGCAGGAUUUGGAAACCUUUGAACUGUUUAGAGGAGAGCCUUUGGGGUCUCUCAAUGGAUCUGGGGCUAGGCUGGCCGCCA
rnacentral:lncRNA from 1 species